rnacentral:lncRNA from 1 species
UAAAAAUUCAAUUUUCAAAUACCUUCAGUCGUAAAAAAGAAGUCAAGCUUUUCGGAUCACUUUCCUCUGAAUGGAGGGUGUGCUUCUGAAGACUUUUUCUUCAGGGUUAUCUCUUUGGAGAGGUUUCUUAAUAGACUCAAGUUCAGUUCAAAUAAUUUUUUACUGGGCCUUCAUCUACUCCAUUUUGUGAGUGAAGGAAGAGAUUUUUAUCUGGAGAGUGAGACACCUUAUUAAUAGCGACUCAACAACAAAGUUAUAAAAGGUACGCCGUUGUGUUUGGGGUUCACAACUCAAUACGUCCCCCGUUGUAUGAGAAAUCUAUUAAUUUGCGUGUUCCUCAUUCGAAGGCUAUAAAUCUCAAGACAAUGAUUCGGCUCAAGAAAUUUUCUUUCUUUGUUUCAUAUUAACUCUAAUAAGAGAAGGAAGAAAUCUUUAUGUUUUCAAGUAAUUUUUUUAAUUAUAAUAUAAAAUUUAAAAUUUCAUAUCACUCAUAUCCAAAAAUAUGCUUGUAAUUCUCAAGCCUUAUAAUGUGCAUACAUAGUACAUUUAUAAAUGACUUAAAGUGUUGAAGGGGUCUACAGUUAUUUUAGUUUUUAAAAAAGUCUUUAUUAAUAAUUCCAUUGACAUGAAUACAAGAUCCAAACUCUAAACUUCAAAAUUAGUAAUUUUUACAUUUGAUGAUUUAUAUAUUUAUCCAUUCCCCUGUUAUAAAAAUACAAAUAUUUGUGUUUGAUCUUCACACAGUGCUUAAAAACUUUGACAAAUAUGUUCAAAUAAAAUCUGCCUUGACUCCAAUUAUAUUG